rnacentral:rRNA from 1 species
AUGUCCUUCCAGAUGUACUAUGUGAACCAGGAGCUUACUGUUGAGGAUUUUCUUUAUGAGGAUGAUUACAAGAUAAGCCUUCCCGGGACCAAUCAAGAAAUCCUCAAUAACCUUCAAGGGAUUGCUCACCAAGAAUAUCCGCAGUUCAAUUUGACACAAGAGUUACCCCCUAAUGCAUAUGUUGAUAUGAACAACAAUGGGAAGAAUGCUGGAGAUGUUUUCGUCGAGAUGUCAGACUUCCUCACAACAAUGUCUCCGGCACCUGCUUCAUUCCUAAGGCCGAAAGGGUCCUCCAGGGCUCAAGGCACAAUGCAUGUGAUCCGCCCAAGAGGUAUUGAUCUAAAAGAUGACCCUUUGUUUGUUGCUCUUAGUGUGAAAAUCCAAGGAAAGCAUGUUCGUGUUCCUGUCUGUGAAGGGGCUGCUACUACGAAAUUGUCUUGGGAUGCACCUAAACUUUUCGAGCUUUACAUAUUUGAAGGUGAAUCUAUGAGAGGAUGGCUUUUCUUUGACAAACCAAUAAGGGCGUUCGAUAGUGGAAACCGGAAGCAGAGCUCACUGCCAAAUUACAACAGCCGUGGCUGGCAUGAAUCAAGGAAGCAAGUGAUGAAAGACUUUGGGGGUCUGAAGAGAUCAUACUACAUGGAUCCACAACCAUCUAGCAGCUACGAAGAAGAAAGUUGUUGCUCCAGUUCUUUCUACUAG